UACGGAGGGUGCGAGCGUUGUCCGGAAUCACUGGGCGUAAAGGGCGCGUAGGCGGCCUGAUAGUAGGGGGUGAAAUCUUGCGGCUUAACCGCAAGGCUGCCUUCUAAACUGUCGGGCUAGAGCACAGUAGAGGCAGGUGGAAUUCCCGGUGUAGCGGUGGAAUGCGUAGAGAUCGGGAAGAACAUCAGUGGCGAAGGCGGCCUGCUGGGCUGUUGCUGACGCUGAGGCGCGACAGCGUGGGGAUCAAACAGG
rnacentral:rRNA from 1 species